rnacentral:rRNA from 1 species
GACAGAGGAUGCAAGCGUUAUCCGGAAUGAUUGGGCGUAAAGCGUCUGUAGGUGGCUUUUUAAGUCCGCCGUCAAAUCCCAGGGCUCAACCCUGGACAGGCGGUGGAAACUACCAAGCUGGAGUACGGUAGGGGCAGAGGGAAUUUCCGGUGGAGCGGUGAAAUGCGUAGAUAUGCGGAGGAACACCGAUGGGCGAAGGCAGAUCUCUGGGCCACUACUGACGCUGAGAAGCGAAAGCAUGGGGAGCGACAGGA